rnacentral:sRNA from 1 species
CAGCACUUGGGAUGUGCACCAACAGUUCUUAUGGGGGCCCGGUCUCCUCAUCACUCCAGUUCUGGAUGAAGGUGCAGAGAAAGUGAUGGCAUAUGUGCCUGAUGCUGUCUGGUAUGACUACGAGACUGUAAGUAGCUUUGACUUUUCUUCUACUCCUUAAGACUGUAGCUGCAGCUGCAUAGACAAGCUACCUUUCUGGAGAGAGAAACAUCCAUCUACAUGCUGAGGAGUAUUUUUUAGUGUUUUCUGUAAUUUCAUAGCAGAACCUGGGUAAAGUUAACCUAAACCGCUAACAUCAGUCAUGAUGAAAUGUGAAAAAAUACCUUCAUAUACUUUAUUUAGCAAUAAGAUAGGCUGACAUAGUAUCUCAUAAAUUAAUAUUGGAGGAACUGAUGGA